UUGAACCCAUGUCUCCUGCAUCGCAGGCAGAUUCUUCACUGUUUGAGCUACUAGGGAAGCCCAUCAGAAAGCUAAGGUAGCUGUCAAAUUCCUCCAACAGUUGAUUUCCUUCUUGUUACAUGAAUCUUACAAGUGACUGAAGGCGUGGAAAACGUGCGUGUGUGCUCAAUUGCUCGGUGUGUCCAACUCUUUGCCACCACAUGGACUCUAGCCAACCAGGCUCCUCUGUCCAUGGGAUUAUCCCGGCAUGUAUACUGGAGUGGGUUGCCAUUUCCUUCUCCAGGAAAGUGAUUGAAUAGAGGAGACUUAACUCCAUCAAAUUAUACUGCAGAAACAAUUUAUAUAGGAAGAUAACUUUUGAUUUAAAAUAAUUUUUUUUUAUUUUAAAAUCAAAGCUUUUGAUUUUCAAAAAAUCAGAAGUUGCAUGUGACCAGUAGGGGCCGGGAAAGGAAGUCAACAAUAACAAUUGACUUUCUGGUUUGAGCAACUGAAUGGGUAUUGUUGCCUAUUUCUCUCUUUUUUUUUUUUUUGGCCACGCCACACAGCACAGCAUGUGGGAUCUUAGUUCCUUGACCAGAGAUCAAGUCCACAUCCCCUCAUCUCUGCAUUGGAAGUGUGAUGUCUUAACCACUGUACUCCCUGGGAAGUUCCCGUUGCCUGUUUCUAAUGUCAUUGUCGAAUCCAGUUGACAGGGGACAGAUGAACCACAAUUAAGUAGAAGAUCACAAUAAAAGCUGAUGAGGAAACUGAAGCCAGGAGAAGCUAAGUAACUUGUGCCUGAGGUCACACAGCUGUAAGUCUGCAGCGACUCGAGUCCCGGAGAGCCUGGAGAGGAAACGGGAGGCUUUUCCUGGUAACUACUGGUCACCAGCGGAGAAGGCAAUGGCACCCCCACUCCAGUACUCUUGCUUGGAAAAUCCCAUGGACAAAGAAGCCUGGUGGGCUGCCAUCUCUGGGGUCGCCCAGAGUAGGACACGACUGAAGCGACUUAGUAACAGCAGCAGCAGCAACUGGUCACCAGCAGGGGCCGCCCUAAGAUCGUUGCUUCCGUAAUUGUGAUAAAACUCUUUUACAGAGUAGAGUGGGUUUUCAGAACUGUUGAAGACUGAGAGUUGUGAAUCACUUGCCUUCUUGAUCAAAUUUCAUUCAGCUUUGUCAUGGAAACUGAAUGAUGACAUCAGGAAGGUAUUAAGGUCAAGAAAUAGAAUCAAGCAAUGAAACUACAGAAGAAAAGAGUCUGUAAAUGGUGAGGACCAGAGGGAUUAUUUAUUGAGAAGGAUUACUUAUUUCUUGGUGUGUUGGUAAUCCUGUUUCUUGGUCUCAUGUCCAUUAUAGGAGUGUGUUCAGUUUGUGAAGAUUCAUCAAGCUGUGACAUAGUAUAAAUACAUUUUUCUGUGUAUGUAUUAAAUUUCAAUAAAUGUUUUUAAAACUAAAAA